rnacentral:rRNA from 1 species
UGCUGGGUGGAUUAGUGGCGAACGGGUGAGUAACACGUGAGUAACCUGCCCUUAACUCUGGGAUAAGCCUGGGAAACUGGGUCUAAUACCGGAUAGGAGCGUCCACCGCAUGGUGGGUGUUGGAAAGAUUUAUCGGUUUUGGAUGGACUCGCGGCCUAUCAGCUUGUUGGUGAGGUAAUGGCUCACCAAGGCGACGACGGGUAGCCGGCCUGAGAGGGUGACCGGCCACACUGGGACUGAGACACGGCCCAGACUCCUACGGGAGGCAGCAGUGGGGAAUAUUGCACAAUGGGCGCAAGCCUGAUGCAGCGACGCCGCGUGAGGGAUGACGGCCUUCGGGUUGUAAACCUCUUUCAGUAGGGAAGAAGCGAAAGUGACGGUACCUGCAGAAGAAGCACCGGCUAACUACGUGCCAGCAGCCGCGGUAAUACGUAGGGUGCGAGCGUUAUCCGGAAUUAUUGGGCGUAAAGAGCUCGUAGGCGGUUUGUCGCGUCUGUCGUGAAAGUCCGGGGCUUAACCCCGGAUCUGCGGUGGGUACGGGCAGACUAGAGUGCAGUAGGGGAGACUGGAAUUCCUGGUGUAGCGGUGGAAUGCGCAGAUAUCAGGAGGAACACCGAUGGCGAAGGCAGGUCUCUGGGCUGUAACUGACGCUGAGGAGCGAAAGCAUGGGGAGCGAACAGGAUUAGAUACCCUGGUAGUCCAUGCCGUAAACGUUGGGCACUAGGUGUGGGGACCAUUCCACGGUUUCCGCGCCGCAGCUAACGCAUUAAGUGCCCCGCCUGGGGAGUACGGCCGCAAGGCUAAAACUCAAAGGAAUUGACGGGGGCCCGCACAAGCGGCGGAGCAUGCGGAUUAAUUCGAUGCAACGCGAAGAACCUUACCAAGGCUUGACAUGUUCUCGAUCGCCGUAGAGAUACGGUUUCCCCUUUGGGGCGGGUUCACAGGUGGUGCAUGGUUGUCGUCAGCUCGUGUCGUGAGAUGUUGGGUUAAGUCCCGCAACGAGCGCAACCCUCGUUCCAUGUUGCCAGCACGUAAUGGNGGGGACUCAUGGGAAGACUGCCGGGGUCAACUCCGAAGGAAGGUGAGGACGACGUCAAAUCAUCAUGCCCCUUAUGGCUUGGGCUUCACGCAUGCUACAAUGGCCGGUACCAAUGGGGUU